rnacentral:rRNA from 1 species
AACGAACUAACUUCGGUUAGUAAGUCGCGAACGGCUGAGUAACACGUAGGUAUCUACCUCUUGGUGUGGAAUACCUACUCGAAAGAGUAGUUAAUACCGCAUAAGAUCCAAGGAUGAAAGGGCGUAACUGCCCGCCGAGAGAGGAGCCUGCGGCCCAUCAGCUUGUUGGUAGGGUAAUAGCCUACCAAGGCUACGACGGGUAGGGGGCGUGAGAGCGUGUUCCCCCAGAAAGGCACUGAGACACGGGCCUU